rnacentral:rRNA from 1 species
AGAGUUUGAUCAUGGCUCAGGAUGAACGUUGGUAGUAUGCCUAACACAUGCAAGUCGAGCGGAAAGUAGUAGCAAUAUUACCUUUAGCGGCGAACGGGUGAGUAAUACUUAUCUUACCUGCCAUUUAGUGGGGGAUAAAAUUCCGCAUAUUAUGAGUAAUCAUGAAAGGGCUUUCGGGCUCGCUAAUUGAUGGGGAUAAGUCGUAUUAGUUAGUUGGUGGGGUAAUGGCCUACCAAGACAAUGAUGCGUAGCCAGUCUGAGAGGAUGAAUGGCCACAAAGGAACUGAGACACGGUCCUUACUCCUAUUGAGGAGGCAGCAGUGGGGAAUAUUCUGCAAUGGGGGAAACCCUGACAGAGCAAUACUACGUGAAGGAGGAAGGUCUACGGAUUGUAAACUUCUUUACUUAAAUGUACUAACCGCAAGGUUUUGCAUUUGAGCAAAAAGCGACGACUAACUAUGUGCCAGCAGUCGCGGUAAGACAUAGGUCGCGAACGUUAUCCGGAAUUAUUGGGCGUAAAGGAUGCGUAGAUGGUUCAGUAAGUUACUGGUGGGAAAUCGAGGCCUAACCUCGUGGAAGUCAGUAAUACUGUUGAACUUGAGUGCAGGAGAGGUUAACGGAACUUCAUGUGGAGCGGUAAAAUGCGUAGAUAUAUGAAAGAACAUCAAUAUAGCGAAGGCAGUUAACUAUUCUGCUACUGACAUUGAGGCAUGAAAGCGUGGGGAGCAAAACGGAUUAGAUACCCGUGUAGUCCACGCCCUAAACGAUGAGUGCUAGAUAUUGGGAACUUGAUUCUCAGUGUCGCUAGGUAACCCGGUAAGCACUCCGCCUGGGGAGUACGCUCGCAAGAGUGAAACUUAAAGGAAUUGACGGGGACUCGCACAAGCAGUGGAGCAUGUGGUUUAAUCCGAUACAACGCGUAGAACCUUACCAAGGCUUGACAUGUAAGGUAGCAAUACUAAAUUAGGGAAACCUAGUUGAAUUACACAGGUGCUGCAUGGCCGUCGUCAGUUCGUGCCGUGAGGUGUAUGGUUAAGUCCUAUAACGAACGCAACCCUUGUCCUUAGUUGCCAGCAUUCAGUUGGGGACUCUAAGGAGACUGCAAGGCAUGUUUAUGCAUGUCUGAACUGAGUAAUCAGGAGGAAGGAAAGGAUGACGCCUGGUCGUCAUGGCCCUUAUGCCUUGGGCGACACACGUGCUACAAUGGUUAGUACAAAGGGUCGCCAACCCGCGAGGGGGAGCUAAUCUCAAAAAACUAACCGCAGUUCAGAUUGGAGGCUGCAACUCGCCUCCAUGAAGGUGGAAUUGCUAGUAAUCGUAAAUCAGCCAUGUUACGGUGAAUACGUUCUCGAGUCUUGUACACACCGCCCGUCAAAUCACGAAAGUCGGUAAUGCCUAAAACCAGUUGAUUAACCCGCAAGGGAUACAGCUGACAAGGGUAGGAUUGGCAAUUGGGGUUAAGUCGUAACAAGGUAGCCGUAG